GUCUAUAAAAAGGGUGGCUGCGGCCCGCGCUUUCUCUUUCGGAGUCUGCCUUUGGCCUCGCUGCUGCGUACAAAAUCUCAAGCCAAUGCUGUCUAUAAAGGGUUUCACAAAUGAUUCUGUGAUCAUGGAACAUGGACUGGGUUUCACAAAUGAUUCUGGGAUCAUGGAACAAGGAUUGAUUCUGUGUUUGCAAAUAUGGGAAUACUACCCAUUGAUGGGCUGGCCUUCGGGUUCUCGAAUAUGGAACAGCUUUAGAUGAUCAAACAUGUCUUAAUGGGAUCGAGCUGUCUUUGAAGAACCUCAAGAAAAGGC